GACGUAGGGUGCGAGCGUUGUCCGGAUUUAUUGGGCGUAAAGAGCUCGUAGGCGGCUCGUCGCGUCGACCGUGAAAACCCGCAGCUUAACUGCGGGCUUGCGGUUGAUACGGGCGGGCUAGAGUUCGGUAGGGGAGACUGGAAUUCCUGGUGUAGCGGUGGAAAUGCGCAGAUAUCAGGAGGAACACCGGUGGCGAAGGCGGGUCUCUGGGCCGAUACUGACGCUGAGGAGCGAAAGCGUGGGGAGCGAACAGG
rnacentral:rRNA from 1 species